rnacentral:rRNA from 1 species
GAUGAACGCUGGCGGCGUGCUUAACACAUGCAAGUCGAACGGGAAACCUUUUAUUGAAGCUUCGGCAGAUUUAGCUGGCUUCUAGUGGCGGACGGGUGAGUAACGCGUGGGUAACCUGCACUAUACAGGGGGAUAACAACCAGAAAUGGUUGCUAAUACCGCAUAAGCGCACAGGGCCGCAUGGUCCGGUGUGAAAAACUCCGGUGGUUUAGGAUGGACCCGCGUUGGAUUAGCCAGUUGGCAGGGUAACGGCCUACCAAAGCGACGAUCAAUAGCCGGCCUGAGAGGGUGAACGGCCACAUUGGGACUGAGACACGGCCCAGACUCCUACGGGAGGCAGCAGUGGGGAAUAUUGCACAAUGGGGGAAACCCUGAUGCAGCGACGCCGCGUGAAGGAAGAAGUAUCUCGGGAUGUAAACUUCUAUCAGCAGGGAAGAUAGUGACGGUACCUGACGAAGAAGCCCCGGCUAACUACGUG